UGGGGAAUAUUGGACAAUGGGGGCAACCCUGAUCCAGCGAUGCCGCGUGAGUGAAGAAGGCCUUCGGGUUGUAAAGCUCUUUCACCUGAGACGAUGAUGACGGUAUCAGGAGAAGAAGCACCGGCUAACUCUGUGCCAGCAGCCGCGGUAAGACAGAGGGUGCUAGCGUUGUUCGGAAUGACUGGGCGUAAAGGGCGCGUAGGCUGCUUUUUAAGUCAGGCGUGAAAGCCCCGGGCUCAACCUGGGAACUGCGUUUGAUACUGGAAGGCUUGAGUGCGGAAGAGGAGAGUGGAAUUCCUAGUGUAGAAGUGAAAUUCGUAGAUAUUAGGAGGAACACCAGAGGCGAAGGCGACUCUCUGGUCCGCAACUGACGCUGAGGCGCGAAAGCGUGGGGAGCAAACA
rnacentral:rRNA from 1 species